rnacentral:SRP_RNA from 2 species
GCUGGGUGUGGUGGCGCGCACCUGUAAUCCCAGCUACUUGGGAGACUGAGGCAGGAGAAUUGCCUGAACCCGGGAGGUGGAGGUUCCAGUGAACUGAGAUCACAUCAUUGCACUCCAGCUUGGGCAACAAGAGUGAAACGCUGUCUAAAAAAAAAAAAAAAAAGCAUACAGCAGGGUGGUGAUGCAGUUUUUUUUUUUUUUUAGACGGAGUCUUGUUGCUAGGCUGCAGUGCAGUGGCGCGAUCUCGGCCCACUGCAACCUCCGCCUCCCGGGUUCAAGCGAUUCUCCUGCCUCAG